GAAACUUAAAGGAAUUGACGGGGCCCGCACAAGCGGUGGAGUAUGUGGUUUAAUUCGAUGCAACGCGAAGAACCUUACCUGGUCUUGACAUCCCGGAGACCCUUAGGAAACUAGGGGGUGCUUCCAUCUGGAAGAAUCUGGAGACAGGUGCUGCAUGGCUGUCGUCAGCUCGUGUCGUGAGAUGUUGGGUUAAGUCCCGCAACGAGCGCAACCCUUGCCUUUAGUUGCCAGCAGUUCGGCUGGGCACUCUAAAGGGACUGCCGGUGUUAAACCGGAGGAAGGUGGGGAUGACGUCAAGUCCCCAUGGCCUUUAUGACCAGGGCUACACACGUACUACAAUGGCCGAUACAAAGGGCAGCGACACUGCGAGGUGAAGCCAAUCCCGUAAAAUCGGUCUCAGUCCGGAUUGGAGUCUGCAACUCGACUCCAUGAAGUUGGAAUCGCUAGUAAUCGUGGAUCAGCAUGCCACGGUGAAUACGUUCCCGGGCCUU
rnacentral:rRNA from 1 species